AUUGAGAGUUUGAUCCUAGCUCAGGAUGAACGUUGGCGGCGUGUCUAAGGCAUGCAAGUCGAGGGAUCGGCCUUUUUUUCUUCGGAAUUUGAGGUACGGACCGGCAAACGGGUGAGUAACACACUGGUAACCUACCUGCGAGUCGAGCAUAGCCCAGAGAAAUCUGGAUUAAUACUCGAUGGUCAUGGGGGGACAUAUGUCAUUCCCAUGUAAAGAUUUUUCGCUCGCAGAGGGGCCUAUGGCUGAUUAGCUUGUUGGUAGGGUAAUGGCCUACCAAGGCAUUGAUCAGUAGCAGGCGUGAGAGCGUGACCUGCCUCACUGGGACUGAGACACGGCCCAGACUCCUACGGGAGGCUGCAGUCAAGAAUAUUCCACAAUGCACGAAAGUGUGAUGGAGCGACGCCGCGUGCAGGAAGACGCCCUUCGGGGUGUAAACUGCUUUUCUUAGGGAAGAAUUCGUGACGGUACCUAAGGAAUAAGUGGGUGCUAACUCUGUGCCAGCAGCAGCGGUAAUACAGAGCCCACAAACGUUAUCCGGAUUCAUUGGGCGUAAAGCGUCCGCAGGUGGUUUUGUAAGUCAGUUGUCAAAUCCUGGGGCUUAACCUCAGGACUGCGAUUGAUACUGCGAAGCUAGAGGCCGGGAGAGGCAAGCGGAACUAUCGGUGUAGUCGUAAUAAGCGCUGAUAUCGAUAGGAACACCAAAGGCGAAGGCAGCUUGCUAGAACGUGCCUGACACUCAUGGACGAAAGCGUGGGGAGCGAAUGGGAUUAGAUACCCCAGUAGUCCACGCCCUAAACGAUGCAUACUAGGUAUUGGGAGUAUCGACCCUCUCAGUGCCGUUGAAAAAAGCUAACGCGUUAAGUAUGCCGCCUGGGAAGUACGGCCGCAAGGCUAAAACUCAAAGGAAUAGACGGGGACCCGCACAAGCGGUGGAUCAUGCGGUUUAAUUCGAUGAUACGCGGCAAACCUUACCUGGGCUUGACAUGUAGCUGCAAGCUCUCUGAAAAGAGAGCCGCCUUCGAGGGUGCUACACAGGUGUUGCAUGGUUGCCGUCAGCUCGUGCCGUGAGGUGUACCGUUAAGUCGGGUAACGAGCGCAACCCUCGUGCUGUGUUAAAUGUACAUAGCAGACUGCCGGUGCAAACCGGAGGAAGGUGGGGACGACGUCAAAUCAGCAUGGCUCUUACGCCCAGGGCUACACGCAUGAUACAAUGGCCGGAAACAAUGGGUAGCCAAACCGCGAGGUGGAGCUAAUCCUCAAAACCGGUCCCAGUUCGGAUUGAAGGCUGCAAUUCGCCUUCAUGAAGUUGGAAUCGCUAGUAAACGCGCAUCAGCCACGGCGCGUUGAAUACGUUCUCGGGUCUUGUACUCACCGCCCGUCACACCACGAAAGCUGGGGGCACCCGAAGGCUCACUUAUGUGGGACGAAGGUGAAUUCAGUGAUUGGGGUGAAGUCGUAACAAGGCAUCCGUAGCGGAAGCUGUGGAUGGAUCACCUCCUUUCUGGAGU
rnacentral:rRNA from 1 species